rnacentral:rRNA from 1 species
UACGUAGGGUGCAAGCGUUAUCCGGAAUUAUUGGGCGUAAAGAGCUCGUAGGCGGUUUGUCGCGUCUGCUGUGAAAACUGGGGGGCUCAACCCCCCAGCCUGCAGUGGGUACGGGGCAGACUAGAGUGCGGUAGGGGAGAUUGGAAUUCCUGGUGUAGCGGUGGAAUGCGCAGAUAUCAGGAGGAACACCGAUGGCGAAGGCAGAUCUCUGGGCCGUAACUGACGCUGAGGAGCGAAAGCAUGGGGAGCGAACAGG